GGGCCCGCACAAGUAGUGGAGCAUGUGGUUUAAUUCGAAGAUACGCGCAGAACCUUACCUGGUCUUGACAUGCCCGUCAUAGUUUUCCGAAAGGAAUUCGUCAGUUCGGCUGGACGGUGCACAGGUGCUGCAUGGCUGUCGUCAGCUCGUGUCGUGAGAUGUUCGGUUAAGUCCGGCAACGAGCGCAACCCUCGUUCCUAGUUGCCAGCGGGUAAUGCCGGGGACUCUAGGAAGACAAACCUCGUGUAGAGGUGGGAAGGUGGGGACGACGUCAAGUCAGUAUGGCCCUUACGACCAGGGCUGCACACGUGCUACAAUGCCCAGCACAAUGGGAUGCAACACCGCGAGGUUGAGCAAAUCCACAAAACUGGGCCCAGUUCGGAUCGGAGUCUGCAACUCGACUCCGUGAAGCUGGAAUC
rnacentral:rRNA from 1 species